rnacentral:lncRNA from 1 species
UGAUAUUAUUAUUUGAUUGAAAGUAAAAUCAGAAGACGAGGCUGAUAGAAAAUAAACAAUCAGAAGACAAAUGUAAUUAUUUGAUGAUUUGUAUCUCCCCCUCAGUAAUCCUUGCCGGUGUAAAGAAAUAAGAAAAAAAAGUCGAUUUCAACCAAAAAAAAAAGGGCAAAUCUCUAAAAUAGCACCUUUCUAAGUUUAUAUCACAAAAAUAGCACUCAAAAACUAAAAUGAUCAAAAUAGCACAUUUUUAAGUUUAUCCUUUGAAAAUUUUAAUUUUUUUUAUUUUUCAAAAUUUGAAAUCUUAUCCCCAAAACCUCAUUUCUCAACUCUAAACCCUAAACCCUAAACUCUAAACCCUAAACCCUAAACCAUAAACCCUAAACUCUAAACCCUAAACCCUAAACCCUAAAAUCUAAACCCUAAACCCUAAACCCUAAACUCUAAACCCUAAAUCCUAAAUCCUAAACCCCACCCUUUAACUUUAAAC